CCUACGGGGGGCAGCAGUGGGGAAUAUUGAACAAUGGGCGAAAGCCUGAUCCAGCCAUGCCGCGUGUGUGAAGAAGGCCUUCGGGUUGUAAAGCACUUUCAGUGGGGAAGAAAGCCUUGGGGCUAAUACCCUCGAGGAAGGACAUCACCCACAGAAGAAGCACCGGCUAACUCCGUGCCAGCAGCCGCGGUAAUACGGAGGGUGCGAGCGUUAAUCGGAAUUACUGGGCGUAAAGCGCGCGUAGGCGGUCUGAUAAGCCGGUUGUGAAAGCCCCGGGCUCAACCUGGGAACGGCAUCCGGAACUGUCAGGCUAGAGUGCAGGAGAGGAAGGUAGAAUUCCCGGUGUAGCGGUGAAAUGCGUAGAGAUCGGGAGGAAUACCAGUGGCGAAGGCGGCCUUCUGGACUGACACUGACGCUGAGGUGCGAAAGCGUGGGUAGCAAACAGGAUUAGAUACCCUAGUAGUC
rnacentral:rRNA from 1 species